GGGUUAGUUGAACAAUUAUUUCUAUAAUAUAGACUAAAUGGAUUAUUUAUAGUCUUGUUUAACUUUAUAUUUUAGACAUAUGACAUGUAGUAACAUACCAUAUUAGUUUAAAUCAGUUGUAAAAUUAAAAAUGUUAACAUCUUUGAUAGGUAUAUUUAUUUAGGUUAAUUACAGCUAAGUUUACAUGGCUAGUUAAUAUGCUUUUAUAAAUUGCAAUUUUUAUUAAUUUCCAAAUUAAACAUGUGGCAUCCAAUAUCAUAAACUAAGAUUAUACUGAAUUUGCUGCUUUAGAGGCAUGGCAUUUAGUGUCACAUUGUAGGUUUAAAUUGGUUGUAGAAUUUAUAUUGUAACUUGCAUAUUUAUUUAGUUGAGUUUAAUCUAAGUUUAUAUCUGAUGUGUUUGUAUUAUUUUAGAAUUUACUGUUUUAGACACGUGGCAUGUGGUAUCCCACUAUUACAACUAAGUUUGUGUAUGGCUUGUUUAUAUUAUUUCAGAAUUUGCUAUUUUAGACACUUGGUAUAAGCUGUCAUACUGUAAGUUUAAAUUGGUUGUAAAAUUUAUAUUGUAACUUGCAUUUCUAUUGGCGUGCAUAUUUAUUUAGUUGAGUUUCAACUAUUAAUAAUA